GAUGAACGCUGGCGGCGUGCCUAAUACAUGCCAGUCGAGCGAACAGACGAGGAGCUUGCUCCUCUGACGUUAGCGGCGGACGGGUGAGUAACACGUGGAUAACCUACCUAUAAGACUGGGAUAACUUCGGGAAACCGGAGCUAAUACCGGAUAAUAUAUUGAACCGCAUGGUUCAAUAGUGAAAGACGGUUUUGCUGUCACUUAUAGAUGGAUCCGCGCCGCAUUAGCUAGUUGGUAAGGUAACGGCUUACCAAGGCAACGAUGCGUAGCCGACCUGUGAGGGUGAUCGGCCACACUGGAACUGAGACACGGUCCAGACUCCUACGGGAGGCAGCAGUAGGGAAUCUUCCGCAAUGGGCGAAAGCUUGACGGAGCAACGCCGCGUGAGUGAUGAAGGUCUUCGGAUCGUAAAACUCUGUUAUUAGGGAAGAACAAAUGUGUAAGUAACUAUGCACGUCUUGACGGUACCUAAUCAGAAAGCCACGGCUAACUACGUG
rnacentral:rRNA from 1 species